GACGAACGCUGGCGGCGUGCUUAACACAUGCAAGUCGAACGGAAAGGCCCUGCUUGCAGGGUACUCGAGUGGCGAACGGGUGAGUAACACGUGGGUGAUCUGCCCUGCACUUCGGGAUAAGCCUGGGAAACUGGGUCUAAUACCGGAUAGGAGCCAUUUUUAGUGUGAUGGUUGGAAAGUUUUUUCGGUGUAGGAUGAGCUCGCGGCCUAUCAGCUUGUUGGUGGGGUAAUGGCCUACCAAGGCGGCGACGGGUAGCCGGCCUGAGAGGGUGGACGGCCACAAUGGGACUGAGGUACGGCCCAGGCUCCUACGGGAGGCAGCAGUGGGGAAUAUUGCACAAUGGGCGCAAGCCUGAUGCAGCGACGCCGCGUGGGGGAUGACGGCCUUCGGGUUGUAAACUCCUUUCGCUAGGGACGAAGCUUUUUGUGACGGUACCUAGAUAAGAAGCACCGGCUAACUACGUG
rnacentral:rRNA from 1 species